rnacentral:rRNA from 1 species
UACAGAGGUCUCAAGCGUUGUUCGGAUUCAUUGGGCGUAAAGGGCGCGUAGGCGGCGGGGUAAGUCUGGUGUGAAAUCUAGGAGCUCAACUCCUAAACUGCACUGGAUACUGCUCUGCUAGAGGACUGGAGAGGAGACUGGAAUUCACGGUGUAGCAGUGAAAUGCGUAGAUAUCGUGAGGAAGACCAGUGGCGAAGGCGAGUCUCUGGACAGUUCCUGACGCUGAGGCACGAAGGCCAGGGGAGCAAACGGG